rnacentral:rRNA from 1 species
UACGAAGGGGGCUAGCGUUGCUCGGAAUUACUGGGCGUAAAGGGCGCGCAGGCGGCUCAUUUUGUCAGGCGUGAAAGCCCCGGGCUUAACCUGGGAACUGCGUUUGAUACGGAUGGGCUAGAGUUCGGGAGAGGAGAGUGGAAUUCCCAGUGUAGAGGUGAAAUUCGUAGAUAUUGGGAAGAACACCGGUGGCGAUGGCGGCUCUCUGGACCGAUACUGACGCUGAGGCGCGAAAGCGUGGGGAGCAAACAGG